rnacentral:sRNA from 1 species
GAUGCCAGGGUAGAAAGGUCUAAACCCACAUGAGCUUGCUCAUAUGUGGGUGAAAGACCUUGAGACCCGCCCCGAUAUGAGCAUAAAAGUGUGAUAAUAAUCACACGAUAUGCGAAUAUUGGGAAGGAGUGUGAGAGUGCGGAGCACGGAGCAAUCCGUCGGCAUC